rnacentral:lncRNA from 10 species
UAUAGGUGCAUACUACAUGCCCGGCUAAUUUUUGUAUUUUUAGUAGAGAUGGGGUUUUGCCCUGUUGGCCAGGCUGGUCUCAAACUCUUGACCUCAAGUGAUCUGCCUGCUUCGGCCUCCCAAAGUGCUAGGAUUACAGGCGUGAGCCACCACGCCUGGCCAUCUUUUCAUGUUUUAGUGAUAACCUUUCUUUACCUUGUAUUCCUGAAACUCACAUGUUCACAGACAUUUACGACCAUAGGGUCUAUCAGACAUUAAUUUGGAAACUUGUACUUCCAGAAGCCAAAACAAUUUCAGAAUUAUUGUAGCUAGUAUGCUUUUCAUGAACAUUGAGUAGUCUCUCCCUAUAAUUCUGGAAGCUUAGGAGGACAUGAAAGAAAGGGGUUCUGCAGUUGGUUCUUAAUCUGGAUUUUGCAUUCUUGCUGCAUGAAAGGAAGAAAUGAACAAUCUUGUUUUGUACAAGAUGAUUGCCGUCUUUAGGGCCUAAUGUUGAAUUGCUUCGAGUGAAAAACUCACUGGAAUCAUCUGGAAAAUGUGGUUUUGGUACUUGGCACGGAGCUGCACUGGUGCAGAUAACAUUUGUUACUCUAAGGCUAAUUACCACACUUACUAAGUGAACUGAAGCAGCUUUGUUUCUUUUCAGACCUUUUUCUAAAUCCCCUGACCCAAGACUCCUUUCCGAUCCAGCUCAAGAUGGCCUUGAAACAAAUGCAGGGAGGUUUGUCCAGGAGGGGAAGUCCAAGAGUGAAAUUACAUGCAAGAUCCCAGAACGUGAACGUGUACAGCACUCAGGAUAAAUCUGGGUGUUUUGUUUGUUUGUUUGUUUUGGUUUUUUUUUGAGACCAAGUCUUGCCCUGUCACCCAGGCUGGAGUGCAGUGCAGUGGCUGGAUCUCGGCUCAUUGCAACCUCCGCCUCCUGGG